CCUUAGAUGUUCUGGGCCGCACGCGCGCUACACUGACAGAGCCAACGAGUAUGAACCUUGGCCGAAAGGUCUGGGUAAUCUUGUUAAACUCUGUCGUGCUGGGGAUAGAGCAUUGCAAUUAUUGCUCUUCAACGAGGAAUUCCUAGUAAGCGCAAGUCAUCAGCUUGCGUUGAUUACGUCCCUGCCCUUUGUACACACCGCCCGUCGCUACUACCGAUUGAAUGGCCCAGUGAGGCUUUCGGACUGGCUCCAGGAGGAUGGCAACAUCCACCCAGAGCCGGAAAGUUAGUCAAACUUGGUCAUUUAGAGGAAGUAAAAGUCGUAACAAGGUUUCCGUAGGUGAACCUGCGGAAGGAUCAUUAAACGUUUAGAGAGCGGACGGCGGAAACGUCGUCCUCUACCAUCUCCAAACCAAACUGUGAAACCUCCCUUUUGUCAUACAAAACCACAUCUCUGUAAAUGUCAUUGUCUGAAAUACAAAUGAAAACAAGUUAAAACUUUCAACAACGGAUCUCUUGGUUCUCGCAUCGAUGAAGAACGCAGCGAAACGCGAUAGGUAAUGUGAAUUGCAGAAUUCCGUGAAUCAUCGAAUCUUUGAACGCACAUUGCGCUCCCUGGUAUUCCUAGGAGCAUGUCUGUCUGAGCGUCAGUACACACCCUCCGCGGAUCUCUUUUUUGAGCGUCCGUCGGGUCUUGAGGUUCUCCGAGAGGGGAGCCUCUAAAGUGGAAAGCCAGCGGCCCGCCUGCCCAUGAAAGACGUAGUAAACUUAUGAACCGUCCACGAAGGGGUUUCGGAAGGCUCGCCUCGAAUCUAUCUCAAGGUUUGACCUCAGAUCAGACAAGAAUACCCGCUGAACUUAAGCAUAUCAAUAAGCGGAGGAAAAGAAACCAACAGGGAUUGCCUCAGUAACGGCGAGUGAAGCGGCAAGAGCUCAAAUUUGAAAUCUGGUUCCUUCGGAGCCCGAGUUGUAAUUUGAAGAGGAAUCUUCGGUUCGGACCACGAUCUAUGUUCCUUGGAACAGGACGUCGUAGAGGGUGAGAAUCCCGUACACGGUUGAUGGUCUCGUUCCAUGUGAAGUUCCCUCGAAGAGUCGAGUUGUUUGGGAAUGCAGCUCUAAAAGGGUGGUAAAUGUCAUCUAAAGCUAAAUACCGGCGAGAGACCGAUAGCGCACAAGUAGAGUGAUCGAAAGAUGAAAAGCACUUUGAAAAGAGAGUUAAAAAGUACGUGAAAUUGUUGAAAGGGAAGCGCUUGCAAUCAGACUUGCUCUGGGUUGAUCAACGUUCCUUCUGGUGCGUGCACUCGGCCCUCUGCAGGCCAGCAUCGGUUUGGGCGGCGGGACAAAGACCUCGGGAACGUGGCUCUCUUCGGGGAGUGUUAUAGCCCUUGGUGUAAUGCCGCCAGUCCGGACCGAGGACCGCGCUUCGGCUAGGAUGCUGGCGUAAUGGUUGUAAGCGAC
rnacentral:rRNA from 1 species